rnacentral:rRNA from 1 species
UACGAGGGGGUGCAAGCGUUGCUCGGAAUUAUUGGGCGUAAAGGGUUGGUAGGUGGUCUUGUUUGUCUCGGGUGAAAGCCCAGGGCUUAACCCUGGAAGUGCCCGAGAAACGGCAGACUAGAAUCUUGGAGAGGUGAGCGGAAGUUCCCGGUGUAGCAGGUUCGGAAAUGCGUAGGAGAAUCGGGAGGAACACCAGCGGCGAAGGGC